rnacentral:rRNA from 1 species
GAGGCCUGCCUGCCCAGUGACAAACGUUCAACGGCCGCGGUAUCCUGACCGUGCAAAGGUAGCAUAAUCACUUGUUCCUUAAUUGGGGACUGGAAUGAAUGGCCUCACGAGGAUUCAACUGUCUCUUACCUCUAAUCAGUGAAAUUGACCUCCCCGUGAAGAGGCGGGGAUACAACAACAAGACGAGAAGACCCUAUGGAGCUUUAAUUUUCUGUCUUAACUACUAAAUAACUAACCCUACUGGGAUAAAAAAAAGAGAAGUAAGUCAGUAAUUUCGGUUGGGGUGACCUCGGAGAAUAAGACAACCUCCGAAUGAUUUUAACCAAGACAAACAAGUCAAAGUAUUAAAAAUCAAAUUGACCCAAUUCAUUUGAUCAACGGACCAAGUUACCCUAGGGAUAACAGCGCAAUCCUAUUCAAGAGUCCAUAUCGACAAUUAGGGUUUACGACCUCGAUGUUGGAUCAGGACAUCCCAAUGGUGCAGCAGCUAUUAACGGUUCGUUUGUUCAACGAUUAAAGUCCUACGUGAUCUG